CUCACGGAGUCACAGAGAUGACUCAGCGCAGCCUCCCAAUACCUGAAAAGGGAAUGCUCAGCCGGGCUGGGACAGAGGAGUGGGCACUCUCAGCUGUGUAUGGAAGGACAGCUGCCCGUCGCCCCGCUGGGCACAGGAAUACUCGGUGAACCCACUUGCAUGCUGCUCUUCGGCUUGUGAACAGACACGCGGACCGAUGCCUACAGAUUCUGAGAGGCCUGGUUACUCCUUCCAUGGGCACUGCCGAGGUGUCCUCCUAAAGGCUGCAGCCGUGUGCAUUUUCUGCUAGCAAUGGAAAGACAUCCCUGCUCCCCCACACCCCUCUCAGUACUGGUCUUUGUUUAAUUUUUUAAUUGGUUCCCCUAUUGGAUACUGGAAAGAACUUCGC
rnacentral:lncRNA from 1 species